rnacentral:rRNA from 1 species
GAUGAACGCUGGCGGCGUGCCUAAUACAUGCAAGUCGAGCGAACAGACGCGGAGCUUGCUCCUCUGACGUUAGCGGCGGACGGGUGAGUAACACGUGGAUAACCUACCUAUAAGACUGGGAUAACUUCGGGAAACCGGCGCUAAUACCGGAUAAUAUAUUGAACCGCAUGGUUCAAUAGUGAAAGACGGUUUUGCUGUCACUUGUAGAUGGAUCCGCGCCGGAUUAGCUAGUUGGUAAGGUAACGGCUUACCAAGGCAACGAUGCGUAGCCGACUUGGGAGGGUGAUCGGCCGCACUGGAACUGGGACGCCGUCCAGACUCCUGCGGGAGGCAGCAGUAGGGAAUCUUCCGCAAUGGGCGAAAGCCUGACGGAGCAACGCCGCGUGAGUGAUGAAGGUCUUCGGAUCGUAAAACUCUGUUAUUAGGGAAGAACAAAUGUGUAAGUAACUAUGCACGUCUUGACGGUACCUAAUCAGAAAGCCACGGCUAACUACGUG